rnacentral:rRNA from 1 species
UGGGGAAUUUUGGACAAUGGGCGAAAGCCUGACAGAGCAAUACCGCGUGAGGGAUGAAGGCCUAUGGGUUGUAAACCUCUUUUCUCAAGGAGGAAGAUAUGACGUUACUUGAGGAAUAAGCAUCGGCUAACCCUGUGCCAGCAGCCGCGGUAAUACAGGGGAUGCAAGUGUUAUCCGGAAUCAUUGGGCGUAAAGCGUCUGCAGGUUGACUUUUAAGUCUUUUGUUAAAGCUCUGGGCUUAACCUAGAAUAUGCAAAGGAAACUAUUUGUCUUGAGUAUGGUAGAGGUAAAGGGAAUUUCCAGUGGAGCGGUGAAAUGCUUAGAUAUUGGAAAGAACACCAACAGCGAAGGCACUUUACUGGGCCAGUACUGACACUGAGAGACGAAAGCUAGGGGAGCAAACGGGAUUAGAUACCCCAGUAGUCCCUGAGCGGG